UACGUAGGGACCGAGCGUUGUCCGGAUUCAUUGGGGCGUAAAGAGCUCGUAGGCGGCCACUCAAGUCGAACGUGAAAACUCGGGGCUCAACCCCCGAGCCCGCGUUCGAUACUGGGCGGCUAGAGUCUGGUAGGGGGAUCUGGAAUUCCUGGUGUAGCGGUGGAAUGCGCAGAUAUCAGGAGGAACACCGGUGGCGAAGGCGGGAUCCUGGGCCAGUACUGACGCUGAGGAGCGAAAAGCGUGGGGGAGCAAACAGG
rnacentral:rRNA from 1 species